GUCAGGAUGGCCGAGGGGUCUAAGGCAGCAGACUCAAGAUUUCGCUUCCUGUGCUCAAGGUUUCUGGUAUCCAAAUGGAGGUAUGGAUUCAAAUUCCACUUCUGACU
rnacentral:tRNA from 1 species